rnacentral:rRNA from 1 species
UGUGAACUGCAGGACACAUGAACACCGAUACGUUGAACGCAUAUUGCGCAUCGGACGUUUAAACCCGACCGAUGCACACAUCCUUGAGUGCCUACCAAGUUAUCUAUAUCCUCUAACCAGACUGACUGUCCCAUCCCCGUGAUGGGCUGUCGCAGCAUGACGUGCUCGGACCCGCACCGACGGGACCUUGGGCGUUGAAAGGGAGAGUGCUAAUAGGAAGACAAAUGGUAUGGUACGCUUGGUGAGCGAUGAACGGGCGCGCGACAAGUCGCAACGGUUCGACCCUCAGUAUCAACCAGGGAUGAAACCCCCGCAGCCUUACGGAACAACACCAAAAGGCGCUAGCAAAGGGGUCCUUGGUGGCUCUGGAUCGUGUAACACUUGCGGCCCAACGCGUCCGUCGUCCUCGCCUAAUAAACGGGAAGCACUUCUCCAGUAGUGAUACUGAAACCGUAGGCCUCAAGUGAUGUGUGACAACCCCCUGAAUUUAAGCAUA